AGUGAACGCUGGCGGUAGGCCUAACACAUGCAAGUCGAACGGCAGCACAGUAAGAGCUUGCUCUUACGGGUGGCGAGUGGCGGACGGGUGAGGAAUACAUCGGAAUCUACUUUUUCGUGGGGGAUACGUAGGGAAACUUACGCUAAUACCGCAUACGACCUACGGGUGAAAGCAGGGGAUCUUCGGACCUUGCGCGAUUGAAUGAGCCGAUGUCGGAUUAGCUAGUUGGCGGGGUAAAGGCCCGCCAAGGCGACGAUCCGUAGCUGGUCUGAGAGGAUGAUCAGCCACACUGGAACUGAGACACGGUCCAGACUCCUACGGGAGGCAGCAGUGGGGAAUAUUGGACAAUGGGCGCAAGCCUGAUCCAGCCAUACCGCGUGGGUGAAGAAGGCCUUCGGGUUGUAAAGCCCUUUUGUUGGGAAAGAAAAGCAGCAGGUUAAUACCCCGCUGUUCUGACGGUACCCAAAGAAUAAGCACCGGCUAACUUCGUGC
rnacentral:rRNA from 1 species